rnacentral:tRNA from 1 species
GGGCGAGUGGCGGAACUGGCAGACGCGCCGGAUUUAAAAUCUGGGUCGAAUUGUGGGUUCGAGCCCCACCUCGCCCA